rnacentral:rRNA from 1 species
CACAGGGGAGSCUGCUCCCUGGGUGACGAGCGGCGGACGGGUGAGUAAUGUCUGGGACUGCCUGAUGGAGGGGGAUAACUACUGGAAACGGUAGCUAAUACCGCAUAACGUCGCAAGACCAAAGAGGGGGACCUUCGGGCCUCUUGCCAUCAGAUGUGCCCAGAUGGGAUUAGCUAGUAGGUGGGGUAAUGGCUCACCUAGGCGACGAUCCCUAGCUGGUCUGAGAGGAUGACCAGCCACACUGGAACUGAGACACGGUCCAGACUCCUACGGGAGGCAGCAGUGGGGAAUAUUGCACAAUGGGCGCAAGCCUGAUGCAGCCAUGCCGCGUGUGUGAAGAAGGCCUUCGGCUUAUAAAGCACUUUCAGCGAGGAGGAAGGUGGUGAACUUAAUUCGUUCAUAAAUUGACGUUACUCGCAGAAGAAGC